rnacentral:rRNA from 1 species
AACGAACGCUGGCGGCAUGCCUAACACAUGCAAGUCGAACGAAGGCUCUAGCUUGCUAGAUGUCCUUAGUGGCGAACGGGUGAGUAACGCGUGGGAAUCUGCCAUAGAGUGGGGAACAACUUUUGGAAACGAAAGCUAAUACCGCAUACGCCCUCCGGGGGAAAGGCUUCGGCCGCUCUUUGAUGAUCCCGCGUCUGAUUAGCUUGUUGGUAGGGUAACGGCUUACCAAGGCGACGAUCAGUAGCUGGUCUGAGAGGAUGAUCAGCCACACUGGGACUGAGACACGGCCCAG